rnacentral:lncRNA from 1 species
AGAGUCGUUAUACGUCGACGCGUUAAAGCUGCUUUAAAGCGUAAGCAUUCCGUUGUUCCGAGUCUCAGCCAACCGAACGCAAAUUCCAGAUUGAUAAUUCCCGAUGAGCUAAUUAAGGCGCAAGUGAUUUUCGCACAGCACAACCGCAGCCAAACUCUUCGAUCGAUCUCGAACUCGUCGUCGGCAAUUUGUAAUAACGCUAAAGACGAGGAAAUGGGAAACGGGGACGAUAAUUAAGAUCAACGGACCCUGACUCCGCACGCCAAAUGGAGGAAGACCGACCAUUGCGAACGGAUUGAGAUCUCGCGAAUACGGAUUUUCAUCGAAAAGGCUUGCAAGCGAAGCAGCCGAGGGAUGUGAGGAAAUUACAGCAACAGCUGACGCCGCGUCGAAUCAUGAAGAUGAGAGAGCUGAAAGAUCUACGAUGUAUAAUAUCUGUACGCGUAAACUUUAAACGUUCGUGCUAUAUAUCUGUCGUAUAUAUGCAGUGGUAAUAGCGUAGGUACAGUGGAAAAUGGCGAACGUUGAAAGCAGCAGCCAGAACUUUUCCUCUAAAGCUGCAGCGGCGCCGCCGCUUAUCUGCAUACGCGUAAAAUGGCCAUUCUCGCCGAGGAAUAUACGUAUUUAAGGGCACAAUCUCUGGGUUCGAAGAGCUGCGCUUAGUCCCCCGUAAAAUAUAAAUCGCCAGCUAUUUCGAUGGUGCAAGGCUGAAUAACGGUCCGCGAUAAAUUGAAAGUCGAAUUUGACGGUAAUCGAGGACACGGGAGGCAGGCCUCAAGCGUUAAUCUCGAAACCAAUUUCACCCUCAAUGCUCCGUUCACCUCGUCGAAUUGCGAAUUGUCCCGCACUCGCCAGCCAACCCGUUGAUUAUUCUUUACCUUCGAUGUGCACAAUUUCGACAUUCAACCUUCCGUUUGCACUCAGAUUCGCUACGUUCGCUGCUUACGGUUCAGUCAUGCUCGACAUCAAAGCACUCUCCAGAGGGACGCGAAAGCGCACCGGAAGUACUCCUCUCCUUACUCCCCGCCUUCCGCGUCGCCUAUAAUAAACACACGCAAACACAGGCAAACGCGCAGAUAUCACGUACGACUUGUAACGCGCAGACACUUGCGAACCAAUGGGAAAGCCACCUCCGUGACUUUUCUCCACGCCGAGUGUAUGGUGAGACAAUGGUAUAUUGUGUGACAAGGGAGGAAAGCUGACGGUUGCGACGAGUGUGAAAUGCGCGCCUCAAACGAUCACACGAGUUGAGAUCCCCAACUUUUGCCACCGAGUCACACGGGACAGUUUUUAUAACAAACGAAUGAAACGAGUGGUCAGGCUUUGCGCGGCAGUUUUGCGGAAUGCGAGUGGUCAAUUUCUCCUCCCUAGGGACGAAAGUAAAGCAAUUGUUGACUGUGCUUGCGCGAACCUAUAUUUACAACUCUAAGACGAAAUUGACUAACUUCAUUUCGCUGGUUUGCUACGCAAAACCUCACUUUUCAUGCACGUGUGAUAAAAAAAAACCUUGUUCCAACUUUGUUCCACUCUGAACUUCCAUUCGUCGGUACUUCGAUGUUUGAAGAAAAUUCGCCGAAAAUCUUUUCCAUUUAUUCAAUCCGGAGACACUAUACAUAUUUGUUCGACUGCAAAGCUGUUGCACUUAUUUAUCUCCUUUGUACAACUUGCUCGUCGAGUAAGUUGCGGCCAGGCGAAUGGCUAUAGUAAUACCUACCGACGAGUGAUCGGCACCACCGACACGUGAUAUGAGCAAUGGUGAUCAUUGCGGGUAGACGCUAAUUCGGUUAAAGUCCCAUGUCGUUUUUAGAGCAUUAAAGCGCAAACCAGAUCCAGGGGGAUGUGACGCUAGGAGGUGAAGGUAAGUUGUCUGGUUACACGCGAGGGUGAGUGCGCAUUCAGGAGGAAAUCGGGCGUGCAAAUUGAUCCGCGUGUCGGAGGUGGGGCGAUGAGUUGAGUCAAUCCCUGCGUAAAGUGAUCCUCUGAGGAUUUAUUUUUAAUUUAAAAGUUAAAGUAAUAUUAUCACCCUGAUACUGCGGAUGGAGAGCGAGAGAGAAAGAGGCGAAUCCUGCUCGCAGACGCAAAAGUGGAGUUAUACAUUGGUGUACAAAUUUUUUGCGAUAUUAUCGAAGGGUUUUAAUGAACACGGCGUAAUUUAUAUUACAUGUGAAUAGAAAAGACGCAUUUCGUCGUGACUGCGGCGCAAAAAGGCAUCGUCUCGCCGAGAUACGUGUAUUAUGAAAGCAGCAAAGCGACUUAUUCAUGCCUUUUUGAACAGCCGCAUUUAUACGAUACGCUUCUUCUGUCUCUCCCGUUUAGAUAGGUACAGAUUUUUCAUUAAACCUGUCGUCUGUUGUUUCAUAUACUUUUAACGUCAAACGAUAAGAUCGUGAGAAUCGCUCGCUAAUCGUAAGGCGAAUCCGACUUUAUUACUGCUCGUACAGCGCUAUAAGAAAAAUAACACAGUUUAAUUAUUUACUGACGGCGUUGUGAAUGUAUAGAGAAACUUCUUAACCCUAGGUUGCAGUACGGCAAGAAAAGCCUCGGAUAUACAUACAUUAAAGCGUUUAGUACGGUCGUUGGAGAAAGUUUGAGGUACUUCAAAUUCAUAAAUCAUCGAGUUCUAAAGUGCUGAAGUACCUUCCGCGAGGGCGGAAGCGUACGGCUUCCGUACCAAAAAAGCUUUUAAAGAAGUAAUUGGCUGAGUGAACAAGCACCCCUUCACGUGUGCCAGUUGCCAAUCAUCCGCAAUUUUAAAACCGUGGGAAACACGCGUUUCGAAUAAAUAAUAAACUUGUAUUAUUAAGUGAUCGGAAUUCGUUGGAUUUUUACUGUAUUCAUAUUUUCAUUCAAUGGGAUGGAUGUUUCCUAUCUAAUUUCGAUUGAAAGCUCAUUUUUUCCCGUCCCUAUUACAUGCUAGUUAACAAAUCAGCCUUUUCAUACUUUGCCGAUUUUCAAACGAUUAGAAUGACCAAGAAGAACGGAAAAAUAACGAGUAUCCCAUAAAUAGAAGGUAUCUUUCAUUCCGACCAACUAAGAAGCUUCCACAAAGUUUUUUUGAGCCAUACGUUAAAUUCUUUGCGAAAAUACAGAAUCCACGCAUGCAUGUGUGCAUGAAAAUUCCGAGCGAGUCGAACAAUUUUCAACAUCCAUCGGUUCCAUCAGCGAUGCAGCCGGUGAGCUCGCCAGUUUAAUGUAACCUAAUUUUUUGAAAGCUUUUUUAGCACCGUAUCGUCUUAUCCGAAAGUUAUAUAUCCCGAACACAUGGCAAUGAAUCUAUAAUAUUCUAGGUAGAAGCUGUCCUCGGCGAUACACUUGUCUACGUAAAAGCUAAAAUACUUACCAUUUUGCAUGCACGUAGUUCCACGUGUACAUUGUACCGAACGAAGCGAUAGUUGGCGAUAACUUUCCGGGUCAAUAUUCAUUCGUUACAAAUUAACUGGCGAUGCUUUCACAAACGAAAACGAGUUAAUAUUUUCAGCCUCUGCAUCGCUCUGUAUUAAAUUACGAUUCACGUAGUAGACACGUAAUUAAACUAACUUCUGUCGUCAGUUAAUUUACGGUAACUUUUGUAUUCGCCAAUAAUUAGUUUAGUUUACGACUCUGGCGUACACUGUGCGGAUGAUACUUAAAUUUGCUUGUUCCAGUUGUUUCAUUUUUCAAUUCCGAAUAAACGAAAGCGAGCGAAUGAAGAACUUUACGACGAGUCUGAGCUUGAUGUUACAGGUAAAAAGUGCGAUGAACCAGGACACGUAGCCCCUUGCAUCGGAAGCAGUAUCAACGUCCCGGUGUAUGAGAAUUACGAUACCGCAGCGCAGGGUCGGAAGUGAAGUCGAGUAAUAUUGUUUCAGUGUCUCCCGGGGCUUGCAUCAAUCCGGCGGUCGCUGAUCGAAUCUCUUACUCUUCGUAUUUUCCGGAGAGAGAGAGGGAAUCUCGCCUCGAAAGACGGUGAAAUAACAGUUGAGAAGAAAACAUCGGAGACGCACAAAGCAAUGCGGAUUCAGACCAGUAUCACUGCGCCAUAGUUUAAUUUUCUUCCUUCGGCAACGUGACCACAUCGACCGUUAACCAGAGCAUCCUUGGUUGCCAUCGCUAGCGCUUGACCUCAUCAAAGAAUCUUAGAAAUCAGGCUGACUUGGAGAGUCGCUGCGAUAAACGAUGGCUUCGGAAAACUAUGUACGCUUUCACCCCGUGAAUAUGACCCAAGGCAACAAGAACUGCUCGGAUACGGUUGCUUUUGUCGCCGCAACUGAUGCGGGCUGUUUAAUUAGAAUUAGGCGGUGAAAAGGAAGCAAAAAGGUAACGAGGUGGGAUCAAUUUAAGAGAGCAGCGUAUCGAUUGCUCUUGAAAUUCCGUGUAACUUACUGCAGGUCAGAAGCUCACCUAUACGCAAUCUAACCCUGUCGUUAUUCUAACGAUUUCAUCGUUCGCCUGACAAAAAGGAAGCAUCCGUCGGCCUGGAAGGAAAAGAACUUCCUAGAGUCACUUCCUAUUGAAAUUGCUUUUCUAAUCAACUUCCAAUAUGUAUGUCCCAGUGGUCUUUCAAUUCCCUGCGCACUCUCAUUCUAUGAAGCGAUUGAAAGAACCAUUAUACGAGGCUCUCGAAUUGCAUUCGAUGAAUUACUAAUCUACCAUUAAUUCUACCUUCCGAGUGAUGGAACCGAAUAGAAACGAAGGAAAAGAAGACGGGUAAUUAUCGGGGGAAGAAAAUAGUGAAUCAAAGAUCCCAAUCUAAAUUUACUCACUUGCGAACACAUUGUAGAAUGAUAGCAAAGUCUUCCAAGUCUGACGGAAGGGGGGGGGGGCGAGGCAAGAAUAGCAGAAAUUUUUUUCACCAAAUUCAAUUCCAGCCUUCACUAAAUAUAUAUGUAUAUUUGCGUACCUACUUUGGCCAUUUUUAUUGCCGGUAUUUUGCAUACCAUCAGAAAUUCUGCAGACAGUGCUUCGCAUACACGAUUAAACGCUGUCACUCUUGCCUGCUUCACAAUGCGAGAAAUAAUUAAUCAAGAUGCUAAUUUUCAUAUUCAUUUUAUCUAUCUCUUUUCCUCUUCAUUGUCAUAUCCUUCGAUAUUACUUCAUUUCGCGACACUUUCUGACGCAGAACGAGCAAUAUUUCCAAGGGACUGUAAUCGUGAUUAAUCAAUCUGUAACUUGUAAAUCCAACACCGCGACACGCAGGGGUGAGCAAAGCGUAAACACGUCAUCGACAGUGGUGCGAACCGAUCUGGUAAAGGUGAAGAAUCGAUAAGCUUGAUUCUCGUAUCUAUAUUAGAUACAGGUAAUUAUAAUAAUCUUUCUUUUAUUUUUCUGGAGUGAACGAGGGUUUUAGUGUGUAUCUGCUUAAGUUACGUAAUUAGUUACGUUACGUAGUAAGUUGAAAACAAGUGAAAAAAAAACUAUCCGAUAUGGAAAAUUUAUGACAUAGACUUCUCGGCGUAUGUACCUUCAGGUCGCAAUAAAUCGGAGCUGAGCUACCCGCUAUGAUUUCAUGACUGACGGAUGAGAGAAAGUGUAAUAUCAAUAAAUUGAAUCGUCU